AUGAACGCUAGCGACAGGCUUAACACAUGCAAGUCGAGGGGCAGCACAGGUAGCAAUACCGGGUGGCGACCGGCGCACGGGUGAGUAACGCGUAUGCAACUUACCUAUCAGAGGGGGAUAACCCGGCGAAAGUCGGACUAAUACCGCAUGAAGCAGGGGUCCCGCAUGGGGAUAUUUGCUAAAGAUUCAUCGCUGAUAGAUAGGCAUGCGUUCCAUUAGGCAGUUGGCGGGGUAACGGCCCACCAAACCGACGAUGGAUAGGGGUUCUGAGAGGAAGGUCCCCCACAUUGGUACUGAGACACGGACCAAACUCCUACGGGAGGCAGCAGUGAGGAAUAUUGGUCAAUGGCCGAGAGGCUGAACCAGCCAAGUCGCGUGAGGGAUGAAGGUUCUAUGGAUCGUAAACCUCUUUUAUAAGGGAAUAAAGUGCGGGACGUGUCCCGUUUUGUAUGUACCUUAUGAAUAAGGAUCGGCUAACUCCGUGCCAGCAGCCGCGGUAAUACGGAGGAUCCGAGCGUUAUCCGGAUUUAUUGGGUUUAAAGGGUGCGUAGGCGGCCUUUUAAGUCAGCGGUGAAAGUCUGUGGCUCAACCAUAGAAUUGCCGUUGAAACUGGGGGGCUUGAGUAUGUUUGAGGCAGGCGGAAUGCGUGGUGUAGCGGUGAAAUGCAUAGAUAUCACGCAGAACCCCGAUUGCGAAGGCAGCCUGCCAAGCCAUUACUGACGCUGAUGCACGAAAGCGUGGGGAUCAAACAGGAUUAGAUACCCUGGUAGUCCACGCAGUAAACGAUGAUCACUAGCUGUUUGCGAUACACUGUAAGCGGCACAGCGAAAGCGUUAAGUGAUCCACCUGGGGAGUACGCCGGCAACGGUGAAACUCAAAGGAAUUGACGGGGGCCCGCACAAGCGGAGGAACAUGUGGUUUAAUUCGAUGAUACGCGAGGAACCUUACCCGGGUUUGAACGCAUUCGGACCGAGGUGGAAACACCUUUUCUAGCAAUAGCCGUUUGCGAGGUGCUGCAUGGUUGUCGUCAGCUCGUGCCGUGAGGUGUCGGCUUAAGUGCCAUAACGAGCGCAACCCUUGCCACUAGUUACUAACAGGUAAAGCUGAGGACUCUGGUGGGACUGCCAGCGUAAGCUGCGAGGAAGGCGGGGAUGACGUCAAAUCAGCACGGCCCUUACAUCCGGGGCGACACACGUGUUACAAUGGCGUGGACAAAGGGAAGCCACCUGGCGACAGGGAGCGAAUCCCCAAACCACGUCUCAGUUCGGAUCGGAGUCUGCAACCCGACUCCGUGAAGCUGGAUUCGCUAGUAAUCGCGCAUCAGCCAUGGCGCGGUGAAUACGUUCCCGGGCCUUGUACACACCGCCCGUCAAGCCAUGGGAGCCGGGGGUACCUGAAGUCCGUAACCGCGAGGAUCGGCCUAGGGUAAAACUGGUGACUGGGGCU
rnacentral:rRNA from 1 species